AAGCUCGUAGUUGAAUUUCGGGGUUAGUAGGUUGGUCAUGCCUCUGGUAUGUACUGGUCUCACUGAUUCCUCCUUCCUUAUGAACCGUAAUGCCAUUAAUUUGGUGUUGCGGGGAAUUUGGACUGUUACUUUGAAAAAAUUAGAGUGUUUAAAGCAAGCUAACGCUUGAAUACAUUAGCAUGGAAUAAUGAAAUAGGACGUUCGAUCUUAUUUUGUUGGUUUCUAGGAUUGACGUAAUGAUUAAUAGGGAAGUUGGG
rnacentral:rRNA from 1 species